rnacentral:rRNA from 1 species
ACGAACGCUGGCGGCGUGCUUAACACCUGCAAGGCGAACGGAAAGGCCCUGCUUUUGUGGGGUGCUCGAGUGGCGAACGGGUGAGUAACACGUGAGUAACCUGCCCUUGACUUUGGGAUAACUUCAGGAAACUGGGGCUAAUACCGGAUAGGAGCUCCUGCUGCAUGGUGGGGGUUGGAAAGUUUCGGCGGUUGGGGAUGGACUCGCGGCUUAUCAGCUUGUUGGUGGGGUAGUGGCUUACCAAGGCUUUGACGGGUAGCCGGCCUGAGAGGGUGACCGGCCACAUUGGGACUGAGAUACGGCCCAGACUCCUACGGGAGGCAGCAGUGGGGAAUAUUGCACAAUGGGCGGAAGCCUGAUGCAGCAACGCCGCGUGCGGGAUGACGGCCUUCGGGUUGUAAACCGCUUUCGCCUGUGACGAAGCGUGAGUGACGGUAAUGGGUAAAGAAGCACCGGCUAACUACGUG